AUUCUGAACUAAAUGUUGUGAAGAUAUUAAAUAAGUAUGAAUGACACAAAUUAUUUAAUAUCUUCACAACAUUUAGUUCAGAAU
rnacentral:miRNA from 1 species